rnacentral:rRNA from 1 species
UCCGUAGGGGGCAAGCGUUGUCCGGAAUCAUUGGGCGUAAAGAGCGUGUAGGCGGCCCGGUAAGUCCGCUGUGAAAGUCCAGGGCUCAACCCUGGGAUGCCGGUGGAUACUGUCGGGCUCGAGUCCGGAAGAGGAGUGUGGAAUUCCUGGUGUAGCGGUGAAAUGCGCAGAUAUCAGGAGGAACACCAAUGGCGAAGGCAGCACUCUGGGACGUGACUGACGCUGAGACGCGAAAGCGUGGGGAGCAAACAGG